rnacentral:rRNA from 1 species
UACAGAGGGGGUAAGCGUUGUUCGGAAUUACUGGGCGUAAAGGGCGCGUAGGCGGCCGCCUAAGUCAGACGUGAAAUCCCUCGGCUCAACCGGGGAACUGCGUCUGAUACUGGGUGGCUUGAAUUCGGGAGAGGGAUGCGGAAUUCCAGGUGUAGCGGUGAAAUGCGUAGAUAUCUGGAGGAACACCGGUGGCGAAGGCGGCAUCCUGGACCGAGAUUGACGCUGAGGCGCGAAAGCCAGGGGAGCAAACGGG